CCUCUCCUCUGGCUGCCGUCUCCCAACCAAUCGGCUGCGCUCUCUGCUACGUGUGGCGUCACACGUAGAGGCCAAAAUGGCGUCGGUAGCUGGAGCUGAGGCUUUGCUGCGACCUUUACUCUAGGCGAGGUUGGGGACGGUAGGAAAGCAGCUUUGUCCCUGAAGCGCCGUUGAGCAUUGGGAUCGGAUUCCUCAGAGUCAUGGGAGCAAUUAUCAGCGGCCUCCAGCCCCCACCAGACGCAAUUCAAGGAGAGAGAAUCAGCGCUACAAGAACUUACAUAACGGACGUCGCGAUUGCCCGAACCCAAUCUGGGGGUUGCGGAGUUGCCAGUGGAGAAGGGGGACCCGAACGUUCUCCACUUCGGGGUCCUCCACGUGUGAAGUGGGAAUGAUAGUGGUAUCUCGUGCUUUAGCUGUCAAAGGGAAGAAGGAGAAGGUAUUUAUUAGAGGCCCUACGAUGUGAUUUAAGACACAUGGACUGAGUAGGUAUGAAGUGCAAACACUGUGUUGGUGUCCGGAGGAAUGUACAAGGGAGGGACGCACAGACCCCUCUGUCGAGGACGUGGUUAUCUAGAAGAAAAGAGAGGACUGGUCCACAGACGAACUCAUGCAUGGUGUGCUGACAGAAGUGUGCUCAGUGACAGUGCGGAGGAAAGGAGACAGUCACUUCGACCUGGGGAAGUCAGGAUACGUUCGCCUAAACAGGUGAUGCUUGAGCCAAGUCCUAAAAGACAAAAAGAUUUUCACUUGCAGAUAAAGCAAGAGAAAGCAUUUUAUACACAAUGCCAGUUACUGUCUUUUUUGCUCCUAACCCCUUGGAUCUUGGAAUCAGCUGCUUUCUUUGUAUGGGAAGUUCUUCCCUUAGAUAUUCCCAAAGCUGCCUCCUUCUUGACCUGAUAUUUUCUAAUUUGUUCCUUCGUUUAUUGUAUGUGUCCCCCACUAGAAUGACAGGUCCAUGAGAACAUGAGAUCUGGGCUGUCUUUUUCUCCACUCUAUUACAACAUCUAGAACGUUGCCUGGCACAGUGUCGGUGUUGAAUGCGUGUCAGUUGCAUGAAUAAACAAACAAAAGGAAACACGGGAGGGCACACUGCAGUCAAGGGACUAUGACCACAGCGUGUGGUGCACGGUGGGCAUUGACUUUUUUCCUCAUAAAGUUGAACAAUGAGUUAUGCCUGAAGCAUAGCCCAGAGGACUUGAGGUGGCAGGUAAUCGAAGAGGUGGCCUCCGAGCUUUGCUGUGAAGGUAGAGAAGGAUGACAAUGGGAUGGGAAUGUUGGGGAAGGGAUCGGCAGGAUGAAAUGAGAUAAUUUACAAAUCCUUUCCAACCUUGAGCCUCUAAGGAUGUAUUGCAAACAACUCAUCUCUUGCCACCUUUCCUGGUCCCCUCACCCAUAUCCCUCCUUUCCACUCCACCCUGUCUGGAGGCUGUGAGGGCAUCUGACACACCAUUUCCUGCCAAUGUAAAUCGUGGGCUGAUGUGUGAUGCUCAUUCUUGGUUUUUACCAUCCCCCAGGUGGAGAUGGUCCCAUAACUCAGGGUGGAGGCCCCAAGCAAACCCAGCCUUUCCACAGGGUGGCAAAUAAGGGGGAACUGUUUACCCACCAGCACCUUCCUGGCCCUGCUCCCAGAUAAUUUUAUGUCCUUGGGUCCUGAAUCUGCUCCGUAGUUGGAUGCACCUCAGUUCACUUGCUGGAGCACUGAUGUGUGACUGUUUAACUGCUGCUGCUUCCUGGCCCAGGGAUCCUGGGCUUCAGGGAGCAUGGGAAAGAGACAAGAAAGAGAGCUUUAUAUGAGGUAAGCUUUGACAGUAAUUAUAACGGCCAAAAACGAACUUACACUUACAUAGUGCCUAACAAUUUACAAAGCCCUAGAGAACUCCUAUUCAUCCUUCAAGACCCUGUGCAAAUGUUACCGCUUUUCACCAACUUUCAACUCUCCCAGGCAGAGCUAAUCCUUCCCUCCACACUUUGUAAAAACCUCCAUUAUACCCCUAACUACCUUGUAAUAAAUUUAUUUGUGUACAUGUCUCAUUUCCUCCAUUAAACCAUCAGCUCCUCAGGGGCAGAUCUCUUCUCUCCUAGUAAAACCCAUUUCUUUCUUUCUUAAAAAGUUAUUUUCAUGACACAUAUUUUUCUAAUUAUAAAAUUAAUACUUAUAGUUACAAUGAUCAAAAAUUGCAUAUAUGAAAGUAUAAUGAAGAAAAUUUAAGGGCGCCUGGGUGGCCCAGUUGGUUGGGGGUCCCAUCCUGAUCUCGGCUCAGGUGUUGAUAUCAGGGUCUUGAGUUCAAGCCCCGUGUUGGGUUCCACAC